CCAAAACUCUGGUCAAAACCCAUACACCCUUCGUACCCAUCUUUCCCUUUUCUCUUCCUGUGUUCUUCUUCCUUCCCUCUGCCCUAUCUCUUUAUAGAUCCAUGUUCUGCUUUUGAAUUUUGAAAAAGAGGUUUUGAUUUUCAAAUCUCUACUCUCUCCCUCAAUUGCCUAUUCGUGCAUCUUUCAAAUCUCUAAUCAGAUUUCAAAAUUCAAAUGGAUUUCAAACACCCACCUCUAAAUCCCCCCUUCAUUCAAAUGACAAAAACCCUAAACAGAUUUCAAAAUACAGACAACGUUCUUUCUCUUUCAUGGUUCUCUUUCUCGCUCUAGAAGUUGUUCAAAUGCUCGUCGUAUGCCGAUCACUCCGACUCCGCCAUCUUCUGGUCUCCAUGUGUCGAAAUAUGGCGAUAAAUUGACAUCAGAGUUAAUGGCGGCGCUAUCUAGAGAUCUAUUCAAGGAUUUUGUACGGUGAGUUUAUGGCAUUUGAUUCCCCUUUUCUUUCCUAUAACGUUUCUUCUUAUGUUUGUUGGGAUAAUUAAUUACAUUACUAUUUUUUACGUUUAAGUCUAAAUUUACUCUCAGAGGAUCUCUACAGAUUUCCGUAGAAGGUUGCAGAUUCCAUGGUUUUGUUCCUCUGUAGUGGUGUGGUGCUGAUGGGGAUUCGGAAAUAAUUUAGCAGGACCAAGAUUCCCUUUUCAAAGAUGAUGAGUUAUGAAAUCUCCAUAUAGGAUGGAAAGAGAGCUUAAACCUCAUUUGUCUAUUCUGGUUGGCUAAUGUAAGUUUGAGUCUUUUGUGAGUAAGUGCCACUCAUAGGUGUUAGUGAAUUCUAAAUUUAUAUUAUAUUUCUAUUUAAUAUGAUUUGUUAUUGUCACAAUAUAUGUUUAAUUUAUCAUUUAUUUGUGUAUAUUUUUUGUGAUUUCUAAUUAAUUUUUUCUUCCUUUUCGGGAUGAGUUUAUUCUUACGUGGUUUUAUGGGAAGACUACUAUUAGGUUGAAGAUUACAAAACUAAAGGUGUAUAUAGUCUACCCUAAAGAUUUUGCAACCAUUUAAAAUAUCAUUCCGCUAACAGAAAUCGAUUGGAUAUAUUUGUUUGUGGCAACCAAAUACGCAAGGGUGUUGCUCUUAAAGCCGUUCGGAUCGCAGAGAUGUUGCUGUAACCGAGAUGUUUAGUUUAUUCAGGUUCAGGUAAAUUAAGAUGUUGAAUUAGCUGUUGAAGAGAAUCUGCAUUGUUUUAAAAAGUAGCAACGAAUCAACGAUACUAAUUAUAUCUGAACCAGGUGUCGCACCUUCUAUAUCAAAUGAAAAUGUGGUAACAGUAAAAAAUGCAAAUGUACUUGUGGAGUCGCAAGAUGAUGAUAAGAUGCAAGACCAGAGAGUUUAAACACGUUUGGUUUGAUUUGAUGUCUUUUUUUUUUAAAUCGAUUUAUUUAAACAAGUUAAAUGACAUGAUGAUAUAGGUUUUUAGUAGUAUUCGAAUCAUUAACUAUUUGUAUUUGACCAAAACUAAAAAAAAUAUAACCAUUUGAAAAGGUUAGUCAUUUUUUAGAUUAAAAAAGGAGUAAAAUCUUUACAUCGAGAAUGUCCUCAAGCAAUAAGAUGGACACCCAAGAUUUCUUGCGACACUAAUUAUAUAAGUUGCGUUUAACUUCUUACGACACUAAAGGUAAGUACCCUAUCUUUAUUGUCUCUUGCUUUACAUACAUUAUUCUGAACUCAAAUUCGUAAAUAAUGGAUAAAAUGUGUAAUAGUUCACAUUUAUAUAUUUUUUUUAUUCGAAGUUUAUAAAUGCAACAUGGUGGAAUUUUUGUUUAAUUGAGGCUGAAUAUAUGGGACUUUGAGUCUCAAAAGAUGGUGAUUUACAUUGCGUAACUAUGAAUCUUAAAGUAGUUAUUAAUAUGAAGUCACUGAACUUCAAACGAAGCAUGCAAUUUGAUAUAAGAGAUUAAAGAAUUGAAGGAACAGGAUAUCACUUUAGCACGUUAAUAAAUUUAUAGAUAUAUAUGUUGAAUAAUAUUAUGUUUAAAAUCAUAAAAGAUUAUGAUUUUAAACAUGUUUGUUAAGCGCUCAUAGUCAGCCCUAUAGUGAAGCGCUCAUAGCGAGCACUAUAGUGAAGCGCUCAUAGCGUAUUAAAUGGCCAUGUACAUGUACUUGAUCUUAGUUCAAAUGUGCAGGUAUUUUACUUGAAACACCCAAGGUUUGAACUGUCCAUGCACACCAGAUAAGAGAGGAUAAUGUUCUUGAACUCCCACAUGCUCAAGUUCCUAAGUUGGCUACACAAGCUGAGCAGCAGCAAUGGCUCAAAACAACAAAGCAGCCAUGAAGUUAAAAAGUUCGUUUGAUGUCAUACGCUAUAGCGCGUGUUGGCGAUGUUUCGACAUAUUACCCUAAGUAAUUCAAUUUCUGUUUUUUUUCUUCUUGGUAAGGUUUGCCAGACAUAGGUCUUAGCAUGAAGAGAUAUCAGGUUAUAAAUCAUACAAAAAAUACUUUUAUAGAUAUAGAUUUUUUUUUAACACAACUCAUAACCCGUGAAGCUCACGGGUAUAUAACCUAGUAUAUGUAUAU